rnacentral:rRNA from 1 species
CCUACGGGAGGCAACAGUGGGGAAUAUUGGACAAUGGGGGGGAACCCUGAUCCAGCCAUGCCGCAUGUGUGAAGAAGGCCUUUUGGUUGUAAAGCACUUUAAGCGAGGAGGAGGCGCUCUUAGUUAAUACCUAAGAUGCGUGGACGUUACUCGCAGAAUAAGCACCGGCUAACUCUGUGCCAGCAGCCGCGGUAAUACAGAGGGUGCGAGCGUUAAUCGGAUUUACUGGGCGUAAAGCGCGCGUAGGUGGCUAAUUAAGUCAAAUGUGAAAUCCCCGAGCUUAACUUGGGAAUUGCAUUCGAUACUGGUUAGCUAGAGUAUGGGAGAGGAUGGUAGAAUUCCAGGUGUAGCGGUGAAAUGCGUAGAGAUCUGGAGGAAUACCGAUGGCGAAGGCAGCCAUCUGGCCUAAUACUGACACUGAGGUGCGAAAGCAUGGGGAGCAAACAGGAUUAGAUACCCUGGUAGUCCAUGCCGUAAACGAUGUCUACUAGCCGUUGGGGCCUUUGAGGCUUUAGUGGCGCAGCUAACGCGAUAAGUAGACCGCCUAGGGGAGUACGGUCGCGAAGACUAAAACGUCAAAUGAAUUGACGG